CUCACUCGCCUACGAAUUCUCAGAAGGCAGCCCGACCUCGCUCCAUUUGUCUUUUCUUCACACAAAUGACAGUGAUUUGAUCCCGUUCCCGAGAAAGCAGUAUAUCCUUCGCGUCACUCUAGUUAAAGAAAAAUUAUUGUUCCACUUCGAGGUGAGUAAUCGCUGUUCUGAUGCCUAAAAGUUAUUUUCGGUCAUAAGAGACAGUAGCAGCAACAUUAUGUACAAAAUAAGUUACAAACAACGUGAAAAAAAUUAGCACAGUUGGUUAGGAGCAUGUAAAACGUCACCCAUUAGGCGCUAACCCAUACGGCCUGAACACAAUCAGUCUUAGUGUUCACUCUGUAGUGCUGACCUCUAGAAUUCUCAACUCUUUUUGUUCUGUUGUAAGGCCCCCAAGGCAAUAACUCUGAAUCUCUGAGUUUUGUAUUCCCCAAAUAUAUAGAAGAAGAGUAAUCAGUGAAAUAAAAUAUGUAUGAAAUUCAAAUCUAUCUGCCUCAUUUCAGUGUAUGAUUUUGUUAUGCAUACACUGUUUAUCUCUAUGUUUCAUCGUGUGUAACAAGAGCGUCUAGUCACUGAGCAUCAAUAUUACACUGUUUGUUUACCUGAGGCUUAUCAAAAUACCAUACUGUGAACCACCCUGGAUUCAAGUCAGAUUGGGAAGGAGUGAACGUAGUCAAUUUGUCUGACAAAAUGAAAUUGCUCAACCAACCGUGGUUCUUCAUUAGAUUAGUUAGAUAUUUUACCGUUCACCCUUUAAAGGCCCAGCGCAGUCAUGACAUGUUUUUCCUGUGUUUGAUAUACAUUUCCACAUUGAGGUUGGAAUAAAACUGGGAAAUUGUAAAAAUGAUGAAAAAUAAAUGUUGGUCUAAGAGCUCCCACUGGGCACGCACUGGUUGAAUCGUUGUUUCGACAUCAUUUUUGUCAACCUAUUGUGAAGUGGAAUCUAGGAGGAAAACGCAUUUGGAUUUGCAAAAAAUCAUCAACCAGUACUGUUUCCAUCUCAUUUCCACCAGCGUUGUAAACACUGAAAUUAGGGUAAAACUUCAACUUAAAUACAAUGACGUAACAUCAAUCUAAUUUCACCAUAAUGAUCAGAACUAUACUACCGUUCAAAAGUUUGGGGUCACUUAGAAAUGUCCUGGUUUUGAUUUAAUUUUACUUAACUAGGCAAGUCAGUUAGGAACAAAUUCUUAUUUGCAAUGACGGCCUACACUGGCCAAACCCAGACAACACUGGGACAAUUGUGCACCGCCCUAUGGGACUACCAAUCACGGCCGGUUGUGAUACAGCCUGGAAUCAAACCAGGGUGUCUGUAGUGACACCUCAAGCACUGAAAUGCAGUGUCUUAGACCGCUGCGCCACUCUGGAGCCCGAAGUUAGCGUUUCACUCUUAGUCUACACCUGCUGUUUAUGAAACAUGUGACAAAGAAAAGUUGAUUUGAAGAUUACAUUUUAGUCAUUUAGCAGACACUCUUAUCCAGAGCGACUUACAGUAGUGAAUGCAUAUAUUUCAUAAUUUUUUUCCUUCUUUUUUUUCCCCAUACUGGCCCCCCGUGGGAAUCAAACCCACAACCCUGGCGUUGCAAGCACCAUGCUCUACCAACUGAGCCACAGGGAAGACAGAACAUGUAGUUGUUUGUUCUGAUUUCAUUCUUGAUUAGAUGUACUCCAGAUUUCAACCCACAGACCAAAUAAAACAAGACAACAGUAAACAUGUCGUUCCCCUCGAUGCAGCAGCCCCCUUGGGCCAAUAUGUGUAAUUUUGUAAAGGCAUGAUUGCUAUGGCAAGACGCAUCAUUCACCCAAGUUUCCUCAAAAUCGGGGUAGUGCUGUCUGAGAUAUGUGUGUGACUAAAGGCUCUGCAUGGUCAGUCUGACGUGUACAUUGGCUGUGCAGCAUUUACGGUGAUAUGGCCUUUGCAGAAGUCAGGGCAUUCAUGCUUCUUGUGCUUUAUGGAGCAGCGUAGAGCUGUUAAGCAGAGCGUUGAAGGACGUUGUCAAGGAAGUGAGUUUGUGUGUUUUACAGGACCUCCUGCCCCCACCUACAGUCAACCAAUCAUGCCAAUGCGGAACUAUAUGAAGCAUUGUUACUACAUUUGGGAGGUGCACGGCGAUGCAUUCCUCUGGAUGCUCCGCAAUUAUGUCACAUCCUCCCUAUGGAGCCACCGACCACAUUUUCAGAUCAAGCUUAAAUUGGCUUUAAUUUGGCUUUAAUGUAGGAACGAACAGAUGGAGACAGAUCCACAGUCCCCUCUCCGAUUUCAUCGUGGGGGACAACAAAAUAGAGGAGAAUAUUGUGGUGUGUUUACUACAUUACUAUACUGAGUAUCACAUUGGAUGCAACAGUCAGGCUGGGCAAGAUUGUCUAACAAGUUUAAUCUUUCAAAAUCUAAUUGCUCAACCAUCCAUGAUUCAAAAUGACAUGAGUGAGGUUUUAACUAGUAGUGAAUUCAAAGAUACAGGAUAGCUACCUAACUUCCUUCUUUGGCUGCACUACAAAUUAUGAUCAUGUUGCCAUUUUCAGGAUUUGUUUUUCUUCCAGAAACUAUGAGUGUACUUAUUUGACCAUUAGUCAUCAGUCUCUAUCACGCAACAGUUUCAUUUAAUUAUAGUUGACAGGAAAUGAUAGUUGACAUGAAAUGACAAGGCAUGUCUACACUUAUAUUCCAUUAUGUUGGCUAAUGGUUGCUUAAUCUUGUGGUUUAAAUAAUUAUCUGCACUAGUUUGAGCUAGUUCAGAAUCUGCAGACUGGAAUCUGCAGACUGGAACGUGACUAAACAAAUAGUUGAAACAAGGUUAAAUAAAAUCACCCUGGAUAUUAGUAUUGUUUUAGCAAAGAUUAUUUCCUGCUAGUGACAGACAUGUAGCAGCUUUUUCCUUUUUCAGUUUUUGUUUCAAUACGCUGGAUCUCUUCAACAUAGUGGGGGUGCCUAGAUGAUUUAUUAUUUUCUUACACUGGAAUUAUUUAAGUUUUUCUCAGAGAGGAAUAUUUUCAGUGAUGAAAUGACAGACGCGUGUUACACACAGUCAGAAAGCCUAUCCCAUCAGGCCCAGUAAUCCUCCUGCAACAUUCCUAGGAUUAGAUAACUGCCUAGCCCUUGGUUUAUUUAUUGGCACUGGCUAUAUUAGCACCAGCCCUGGAUGUCUGUCUAUGGUCUCCUCCACAGUAGGCUUAGACGGGACAGGAGCUGUAAUCAGAGAAAAAUCUACGAUUUGGUUUAUUUUUUCCAUCAGAAAUAAAAAAGAGAUGGAGCUACUGAGGCCUGCACUUCUUAUUGUCUUUAUCUCAAAAGCAAUUGCAAAACCAUUCAACAGACUUGGACAUCACAAUGGUCCACAGUUCAACAGACUUGGACAUCACAAUGGACCACAGUUCAACAGGCCUGGACACCACAAUGUUCCACAGUUCAACAGGCCUGGACACCACAAUAUUCCACAGUUCAACAGGCCUGGACACCACAAUAUUCCACGAAUCCACGAGUCCUCAGAAUCUGAUGAAUCAAGAAUGACACGAGGACCAACUGCUCCAACCACAGUGAACCCUCCCACUGCUGCCAUGUCAACUAUUCCACCAGUGACAGAAAUGUCCACGAAUGGGCCAAUUGUCAGUGAAACGACACCGUCACCAGGGAAUGUUACUGCACGUGUCACUGAGGACAUUACAACUCCCGCUCCAGCAACUAGAGGAGACAACUAAUAAUGAGAGUAUUCAUGAGAAUACUUAAUUAUAAUUAUUCCAGAGUUUAUAAAUCAUUGCUUUUUUUACGUCAUCAUUUUUUGUAUGGACUGUUUACAGUACCUGCAUUGUAUGAAAUAUCUUGGAUCUUUUUAUAUUUUUUAUGCAGCAGCAUUUCUAGGUAAUGUUAUCCAUAGCUUCAUAAUAACCCUAUCAGAAGCCCUGUAAUCUUUACUAGUUCAACAUAUGGUGGUAGUUACGGGUGUUUGAAUGUCUGUGAACUAGGUGAUCAUAAUCUGCUGGGUGUGAUAGAAACAUCUGUGAAUGUUUGAUUGAUUUAUUGAUAUUGUUGUGUUAUGCUCCAGUAUGUCUCUUUACAUACAGUAUGUAGUGACUUGCUCUUUGGAGUUUUAGGCUGGUUAUCUGUAAAGUACAUUGCGACAACUGCUGAUUUAAAAAGGGCUUACUAACAUACAUUUGAUUGAUAUUUGUUGUGAACUUGUGUACUCAAUAAAGAGAUAGAAAAAUA